GACCGACCGAGGGGAAGACCUCGGUCUUCUCAUGGCAGGGAAGUCCCCUUCUGGGUUCUCUGAUCCCCUCCUGCCCAGAGGGAUGAGGGAAACGAAUUAAGAAAAUCAAACUGAGUCACAGAGUUUUCAGAGACUGAAGAUUACUUUAACAGGACAUACUACCCGGCUGUGAAGUUCAGGAUGUGUGACCUUCAUUAUAUUUGUGAAGGCACAGAGAUGAACAGAUUGGCCAGAGGAACUGGAAUCCAGGGCAGUGGCCGACUUAGGAACAGGACUCAGGAAAUGAAAGGCGACCUUGGGAGACUUCCCUGUUGUCAGGAUAAUGGUAACAUGAUGAAGAAACUGAGGCACUGAGAAGUGGAAGGCCUUGCUUAAGGUCACAGUGACUAAGGGGUAAGCUGGACUUGGAAGCCGGGACCUUCAGAUGAUUCUAGGAACGAAGACCUCACUCCAGCCGCACUGUGGUAAUGCUCAUUUGCAUAAGCCGCAAAUUUGAAUGCACAUCAUUAUCUGCCCCUCUCCCAUCUUCCCACACUCUCUUCACUCCAAGCUUCCAGUUGGCUCAGCAGACUGACUCUGUUCUGGAUGUGACCAAUAAGGUGCCUUGUAGGACAGAGCCUUCGCUUCCUUGGAGUUGUGGAAAGCCAGGCAUGAGAUGUCUGGUUUAUCCCAUGCUUCCUGCAUGGUCCACGUUCUUCACCUAUAAGAUGAUCUCACUGGGCUCAUCCCUCCCCUCUGUGAGUCACUGCCUCUCAGCACUUGUCCAUUUCCCCUUCCCUUGGGGCUUUUUGGGCCUGCAAACCACAUCCCAUCUUCCUCCUCCAAUGUCUUCCCCCAAGAACUAGACGGACCGAGUGCAACUGUUUGCUGUUUAUUUCAAAGACCAGGGUCAAGGGGACCAUGGGCCACAGACAAGGGCUGGUCCUGAGCCCAGGAUGUGUCCGUUCCAGCCAGGAAGGCUCCUCAGGCUGUGUGUGUGACAUGUGUUUGUUACUGUGACUUCAUGUGGGUUCCCGGGGCUGGCAGUGACCUGGCAUGUGAAGCCCACAGAGACCAAGUGAAGUCCGGGGACAAGUGUGACUCCGACCCCCGGUGGGUGGCUGGGGGUGUGUGUGUGACGCUGCCUCUGAGCUGUGUGUUCUGUGUUUCCUCCGCUUGUCACAGA